GAGAGAGAGUACAGUAGGUCAUGAUGCUGUUUCUCCAUCAGCAGCUGGAGUCUGAGAGAGAGUGUACAGUAGGUAUAGCAGGUGGUAUAGUAGGUAUAGACAGUGUAUUUGAUAUAUACAGUGUAGUCUAUAUAUUCAGCAGGUGAUUUAUGUGGUAUAGGUUGUAUAGGAGGUGUAGAUGGUGUAAAUGUUAUAGGUGUGUAUAAGUGGUACAGGUGGUAUAUAUGGUAUAGGAGGUGUAGAUGGUGUAAAUGUUAUAGGUGUGUAUAAGUGGUACAGGUGGUAUAUAUGGUAUAGGAGGUGUAGAUGGUAUAAAUGUUAUAGGUGGUAUAAGUGGUACAGGUGGUAUAUAUGGUAUAGGAGGUGUAGAUGGUGUAAAUGUUAUAGGUGGUAUAAGUGGUACAGGUGGUAUAUAUGGUAUAGGAGGUGUAGAUGGUGUAAAUGUUAUAGGUGGUAUAAGUGGUACAGGUGGUAUAUAUGGUAUAGGAGGUGUAGAUGGUGUAAAUGUUAUAGGUGGUAUAAGUGGUACAGGUGGUAUAUAUGGUAUAGGAGGUGUAGAUGGUGUAAAUGUUAUAGGUGUGUAUAAGUGGUAGAGGUGGUUUAUAUGGUAUAGGAGGUGUAGAUGGUGUAAAUGUUAUAGGUGUGUGUAAGUGGUACAGGUGGUUUAUGUGGUAUAUGAGGUGUAGAUGGUGUAAAUGUUAUAGGUGUGUGUAAGUGGUACAGGUGGUUUAUGUGGUAUAGGAGGUGUAGAUGGUGUAAAUGUUAUAGGUGUGUGUAAGUGGUACAGGUGGUUUAUGUGGUAUAGGAGGUGUAGAUGGUGUAAAUGUUAUAGGUGUGUAUAAGUGGUACAGGUGGUUUAUGUGGUAUAGGAGGUGUAGAUGGUGUAAAUGUUGUUAUAGGUGUGUGUAAGUGGUAGAGGUGGUUUAUGUGGUAUUAAAACAGUGCCGGGUGUUAAACUCCGGCGCUCCCGGUCUCUGAUUCAGAAUCACAGCGUUUAGCGGUUCUGUUAAUCAGACUGAUCUCAGAUCAGAACCGCCGCUGCUUUUACCGGCUGUUUGUAGUAAAUUGCAGUUUUAAAGGUCAGCGAGCGACGGCACUUUCUAAUGGACAGAGUGCUACCGGCUACUGUUACUACAGCUCUCCCUCUCUCUCUCUCCCCGUCUCUCUCUCUCUUUCUCUCUGUUGUGUGUGCUGUAGUGAACUGGUACUUUAAUGCUGAAGUACUAAAAUAAAAGAUAAAAUAUACUCAGUAUCUGUUUGUCUGGCUGUCAAUAAGCCUGUCUGUCUUUGUGUCUGUCCAUAUAUCUAUAUAUUAAUCUUGCAUAUAUUGAUCUGUUUGUCUGCAUGUCUGUCUGUCUACCUACCUGCUCUAUCUAUCUGUCUGUGUACCUGAAUGUCUGUCUGUCCAUAUAUCUAUCUGUCUACCAACCUGUUUAUAUGUCUGUCUAUCCAUCUAUAAAACUUGUCUAUUUGUCUGCAAAUCUGUAUGUCUGUAUUUCUAUCUCUAUCUCUGUCUGUCUGUCUGCUUACUUGUUUCUGUCUUUCUGUCUAUAUGUCUCUUGGUUUGCAUAUCUUUGUGUUUGUCUGUGUGUCUGUCCUUCCAUCUAUGAAACUUGUCUAUUUGUCUGUAAAUCUUUCUGUUUGUA